ACGGCUGCUAAUACCCCAUAUGCCGCGAGGUGAAAUGAAUUUCGCCUGAGGAUGAGCUCGCGUCUGAUUAGCUAGUUGGUGUAGGUAAUGGCUCACCAAGGCAUCGAUCAGUAGCUGGUCUGAGAGGAUGAUCAGCCACACUGGGACUGAGACACGGCCCAGACUCCUACGGGAGGCAGCAGUGGGGAAUUUUCCGCAAUGGGCGAAAGCCUGACGGAGCAACGCCGCGUGAGGAAUGAAGGCCUCUGGGCUGUAAACCUCUUUUAUCAAGGAAGAAGAUCUGACGGUACUUGAUGAAUAAGCCACGGCUAAUUCCGUGCCAGCAGCCGCGGUAAUACGGGAGUGGCAAGCGUUAUCCGGAAUUAUUGGGCGUAAAGCGUCCGCAGGCGGCCCUUCAAGUCUGCUGUUAAAAAGUGGAGCUUAACUCCAUUCAUG
rnacentral:rRNA from 1 species